UACGUAGGCAGCAAGCGUUGUUCGGAGUUACUGGGCGUAAAGGGUGUGUAGGCGGUGCUCUAAGUUCGGUGUGAAAUCUCCUGGCUCAACUGGGAGGGUGCGCCGGAAACUGGAGUGCUUGAGCGUGGGAGAGGAAAGCGGAAUUCCUGGUGUAGCGGUGAAAUGCGUAGAUAUCAGGAGGAACACCUGUGGUGUAGACGGCUUUCUGGACCAUAGCUGACGCUGAGACACGAAAGCGUGGGUAGCAAACAGG
rnacentral:rRNA from 1 species